rnacentral:tRNA from 1 species
UGACCCAUUGUGUAAUGGCAGCACAGCAGAUUUUGGUUCUGUUAGUCUAGGUUCGAAUCCUGGUGGGUCAACAA